UACAGAGGUCUCAAGCGUUGUUCGGAAUUACUGGGCGUAAAGAGUGUGUAGGCGGUGCUCUAAGUUCGGUGUGAAAUCUCCUGCUUAACUGGGAGGGUGCGCCGAAAACUGGAGUGCUCGAGCGUGGGAGAGGAAAGCGGAAUUCCUGGUGUAGCGGUGAAAUGCGUAGAUAUCAGGAGGAACACCGGUGGCGAAGGCGGUUCUCUGGGAAUGUCCUGACGCUGAGGAGCGAAAGUGUGGGGGAGCGAACAGG
rnacentral:rRNA from 1 species